rnacentral:rRNA from 1 species
UACGGGGGGGGGCAAGCGUUGUUCGGAAUUACUGGGCGUAAAGGCUCGUAGGCGGCCAACUAAGUCAGACGUGAAAUCCCUCGGCUUAACCGGGGAACUGCAUCUGAUACUGGAUGGCUUGAGUUCGGGAGAGGGAUGUGGAAUUCCAGGUGUAGCGGUGAAAUGCGUAGAUAUCUGGAGGAACACCGGUGGCGAAGGCG